AGCGAACGCUGGCGGCAGGCCUAACACAUGCAAGUCGAACGGACCCUUCGGGGUUAGUGGCGGACGGGUGAGUAACACGUGGGAACGUGCCGUUAGGUUCGGAAUAGCUCCUGGAAACGGGUGGGAAUGCCGACUGUGCCCUUCGGGGGAUAGAUUUGUCGCCUUUAGAGCGGCCCGCGUCUGAUUAGCUAGUUGGUGAGGUAAUGGUCACCCAAGGCGACGAUCAGUAGCUGGUCUGAGAGGAUGACCAGCCACAUUUGGACUGAGACACGGCCCAAACUCCUACGGGAGGCAGCAGUGGGAAAUCUUGCGCAAUGGGCGAAAGCCUGACGCAGCCAUGCCGCGUGGAUGAUGAAGGUCUUAGGAUUGUAAAAUCCUUUCACCGGUGAAGAUAAUGACUGUAGCCGGAGAAGAAGCCCCGGCUAACUUCGUGCCAGCCGCCGCUGUAAGAC
rnacentral:rRNA from 1 species